rnacentral:rRNA from 1 species
ACCCGAAGGCGUUUCGCUAACCUCGCAAGAGGGGGCAGCCGACCACGGUGGGCUCAGCGACUGGGGUGAAGUCGUAACAAGGUAGCUGUAGGUGAACCUGCAGAAGGAUCA